rnacentral:rRNA from 1 species
UACGUAGGGGGCAAGCGUUGUCCGGAUUUAUUGGGCGUAAAGAGCGUGUAGGCGGUCAGGUAGGUCCGUUGUGAAAACUCGAGGCUCAACCUCGAGACGCCGAUGGAACCAUCUGACUAGAGUCCGGAAGAGGAGAGUGGAAUUCCUGGUGUAGCGGUGAAAUGCGCAGAUAUCAGGAAGAACACCCGUGGCUAAGGCGGCUCUCUAGUACGGUACUGACGCUGAGACGCGAAAGCGUGGGGAGCGAACAGG